rnacentral:rRNA from 1 species
CUUUGGGAUAACCCUCGGAAACGGGGGCUAAUACCGGAUAUGACUUUUCCUCGCAUGAGGUUUGGUGGAAAGUUUUUCGGCCUGGGAUGGGCUCGCGGCCUAUCAGCUUGUUGGUGGGGUGACGGCCUACCAAGGCGACGACGGGUAGCCGGCCUGAGAGGGCGACCGGCCACACUGGGACUGAGACACGGCCCAGACUCCUACGGGAGGCAGCAGUGGGGAAUAUUGCACAAUGGGCGGAAGCCUGAUGCAGCGACGCCGCGUGAGGGAUGACGGCCUUCGGGUUGUAAACCUCUUUCAGCAGGGACGAAGCGUAAGUGACGGUACCUGCAGAAGAAGCGCCGGCCAACUACGUGCCAGCAGCCGCGGUAAGACGUAGGGCGCGAGCGUUGUCCGGAUUUAUUGGGCGUAAAGAGCUCGUAGGCGGCUUGUCGCGUCGACCGUGAAAACUUGGGGCUCAACCCCAAGCCUGCGGUCGAUACGGGCAGGCUAGAGUUCGGUAGGGGAGACUGGAAUUCCUGGUGUAGCGGUGAAAUGCGCAGAUAUCAGGAGGAACACCGGUGGCGAAGGCGGGUCUCUGGGCCGAUACUGACGCUGAGGAGCGAAAGCGUGGGGAGCGAACAGGAUUAGAUACCCUGGUAGUCCACGCUGUAAACGUUGGGCGC